rnacentral:sRNA from 1 species
CACACACGGGCUUUGGUGUCUGUCCGGGAGAAAUCCGGCUGGGACCUCCGGUGGCAAAGGGCAUUUUGCCUCUUUGUCGAUGGCUCGUGGAGGCUUGAACCGGAAAGGAAAAUA